rnacentral:rRNA from 2 species
CACCUGACCCCAUGCCGAACUCAGAAGUGAAACGCCGUAGCGCCGAUGGUAGUGUGGGGCUUCCCCAUGUGAGAGUAGGGAACUGCCAGGC